GUUGACUGAUCGAUCAUAUGUCGAUAGAACCGACCAUAUGUCGGUAGAAGCCAUGAGUGACUGUCGGCUAGUAGUUCUAUUAUGUCGAUGGUCUAAGUCAUCCAUUAUCGAUCAGUAGUAGUCGAAUCAUUAGUCGAUCGACUGGCAAUAGAUCGGUGUGGUUCGCUCGAUUGAUCGAUGAAGAGUCGGAACCGCAUAAUCAACCGAUGUAGAGUUGGUCGGGGUUGUAUGUUUGGUCGAUCGACUGUUGUUGAGUCAAAAUCGGUAGUCGAUUGAUCUGAGUCAUAUCUGUUUGCGGGGUCAGAGUCGGAUGUCGAUCGGUCUGCACUGGAGAUCAGUCAGUUUAUGGGGGUCA
rnacentral:lncRNA from 1 species